rnacentral:tRNA from 1 species
GCCGACGUAGCUCAGCGGUAGAGCAGCUCUCUCGUAAAGAGCAGGUCAGGAGUUCAAAUCUCCUCGUCGGCUCCA